GAUCUUUACCAGUAAUCUGCAAAAUUACAAAAGUAACAUAUGUUGCAAAGAUCU
rnacentral:tRNA from 1 species